AUACUCUGGUUUCCCUUCAGAUCGUAUAAAUCUUUCGCCUUUUACUAAGGUUUUCCGUGGAGAGGAACAUGAGAGGUCCUGUUAUCUUCUCUUGCCUUAUUCAUGUAGGAAA